GAUGAACGCUAGCGAUAGGCUUAACACAUGCAAGUCGAGGGGCAGCAUGGUCUUAGCUUGCUAAGGCUGAUGGCGACCGGCGCACGGGUGCGUAACGCGUAUGCAACUUGCCUCACAGAGGGGGAUAACCCGUCGAAAGACGGACUAAUACCGCGUACACUCUAUGUUGGGCAUCCAAUGUAGAGGAAAUGAAAUUCGCUGUGAGAUAGGCAUGCGUCCCAUUAGCUAGUUGGUGAGGUAACGGCUCACCAAGGCGACGAUGGGUAGGGGAACUGAGAGGUUGAACCCCCACACUGGUACUGAGACACGGACCAGACUCCUACGGGAGGCAGCAGUGAGGAAUAUUGGCCAAUGGGCGAGAGCCUGAACCAGCCAAGUCGCGUGAAGGAUGACUGUCUUAUGGAUUGUAAACUUCUUUUAUACGGGAAUAACAAGAGUCACGUGUGGCUCCCUGCAUGUACCGUAUGAAUAAGCAUCGGCUAACUCCGUG
rnacentral:rRNA from 1 species